rnacentral:rRNA from 1 species
AACGAACGCUGGCGGCAGGCUUAACACAUGCAAGUCGAACGCCCCGCAAGGGGAGUGGCCGACGGGUGAGUAACGCGUGGGAACAUACCCUUUUCUACGGAAUAGCUCUGGGAAACUGGAAUUAAUACCGUAUACGCCCUACGGGGGAAAGAUUUAUCGGGGAAGGAUUGGCCCGCGUUGGAUUAGCUAGUUGGUGGGGUAAAGGCCUACCAAGGCGACGAUCCAUAGCUGGUCUGAGAGGAUGAUCAGCCACAUUGGGACUGAGACACGGCCCAAACUCCUACGGGAGGCAGCAGUGGGGAAUAUUGGACAAUGGGCGCAAGCGUGAUCCAGCCAUGCCGCGUGAGUGAUGAAGGCCUUAGGGUUGUAAAGCUCUUUCACCGAUGAAGAUAAUGACGGUAGUCGGAGAAGAAGCCCCGGCUAACUUCGUG